GACAGUGCGCGCUAUUUCGCAAAGGGAAGAUGCACGCGAGUUAAGGCUGCGAAAUAGCGAAAGUGAACGAGAUCCAUCCACGUGGCACGUAGGUGGCGAUGACGUGGCAUACAAGCAAGCGGCCAAGUGGCAGUGACGAAGCAGAUGACGUGGCGAUGAUGAGGUGUCAUCCCAGGUGGCAUCCGAUCAACCCCAUCAGCCAAUCAGAGGCCGCCACGUGGCAAGGCGUCAGAGCACAAAUGGAGGCAAAAAUCAAAUUUUAAAUGAAUAAAUGAUAUAGUUUAGACUAUAUUGAAAUUCGAAAUAUUUAAAUGAUGGAUCCAUGAUGAGAAUUAAUUCGCCCAGGGUCCAAUUUUU